rnacentral:lncRNA from 1 species
UUCCAUCAUUCAAAAGCCAAGUCUUGAACAUUAUUCAAACAAACUUAACAUCAUAACAUAAAAACAAACAAACUAACAUGACUUGAACUUAAACAAGAUAAUUGGAAAGAGGCAUGGACAACUAAGUCUCAUCAGCAGCAAGAAUAGAGCUCAUAGAAUCAGGAGCAUCUUCCAAUUCUGUUAUCCCACCAUCACCAUCAAUCUCUGACUCAACAACAACAAUUGCAGAUGCAUUACGAGUUUUGGGAACAUGUUAGGAAUCCCAUGCCUCAUUUUCCAAGUUCUUAAUCAAUAAAACCAAAUCCAAAAGCCAAAAAUCUGGAUCAGGCUUGUUCACAUGAUUCAUAGCUUCCUCAUCAUCACAUUCUAUUACCACAUUGCUAACAUCUCCUCUCUCCCAAGCUAGCUUAAGCUCAUAAUAGAUUGACCAUAUCUCUGUAGCUAGUGGCAAAGUUAAUCCAAUCAUACCUGCAGCCCUCUUAACCCACUGUCCUUGGUUGUUUCUCAUCACACAAUCAACAACAUCUUUCAUUUGAGCCCUAUCAAAAACACCCUUACAAUUAACUUUAACUACAUUAGGAGAGGGUUUACUCCAGCAAACCGUAUUUAGGUACUAUUUGCGAGAAAAUACAAACAAUUUGUGAGAUGUUUUGUGGACAAAUUAAGGUUGUUUAUAGCUCAUGUAUAUAUAUUGGAGGAAAUUAAAGAUAAUUUUAACCACCUACUCACUCAUUGGUGGAUUCAGUCAAGUAUGCAGUCCACAAUGUAGUCAAGUGUUGAAUUAACAAGGCAUUCAAAGUCUGUUUCCAAUACUGUUUCUAAAAAUCAAGGCAAUUCCACCCACUUAUUCGAAACUGAUUUCAACUAAUUUGAACGAGAUAUUGAUGAUUAUAACUAAGGAAAAAAGUGACACCAAACAAAUUCGAACAAAAACAUAACAAACAUUAAUAUACGAAAAUAACACAAUAAUACAACUAUAAAAAUGAAGAAUUUAUGAUACAAUUACAUAAUUGCACAACAAUGUUUGACACUCAUACAAUUAUAAUAAUUCAAACAGAACAUCAAAUUAUAAGAACUAACCUUAAUACCAUGAAUUUGUAUAUGAUAUGCAGCCCCCAAAUUAUAUAAUGAUGACUCGAAACAGAGUAAUGAAUUGGGGAUGAGUACAAACAACUGAAAUUAGGGUUCUUGCUUCUGAUUUGGGAGAAAAAAUCGACAUAUAUAUAUAUGUUGUAGCUGAAAAGACAGAAUUACCCCCGGAAAAACUAACAGUGUUAGUCAAAAUUGACGGUGAUACACGAAGUGUUUAGCGCGUAUAAAAUUUAGUAUAACAAGUGGUACUCCCAGAACUGUAGUAUCGCAAGUGCAAGUUGCUCCUAACUGCAAAUACAGAAAGUACAGUUUUCUCAUAUUUUUUUUAAUUUGGAUAGCCCAGUGGUGGGUUUAUUCUUCUGUUGUCCCGGGACACCCGGGUUCGACUCUGGCUCAUCUCGAGAAUUAUUAGAACAGAUACUAAUUUAUAAGGCAUAUAAGCCUGCAUUGUCAAAAAAAAUAAAAAUAUCACUCUUUCCUAUAUUCUUACAAAGACCGAUUUCAAAGACCUACGGAGCAAAAUGUUACUCCCUCCGUCCCACCCGAUUCUUUACAGUUUCCUUAUUUGGCCGUCCCACCCAUUUCUUUACAUCACAAAACUUUCCCAAAAUAGUUAAUGGGUCCCACCACUUUCUCACUUUUUCUUCCUUUUCACACUACUUUUACUCCACCAACUUCCUUUUAUAUAUUAAAAAUCAAUGGGUCCCACCACUUCACCCACUUUUCCUUCUCUUUUCCACUACUUUAUACAUAUUUCUUAACCUCCGUGCCCAAACCCAAUGUAAAGAAUUGGGUGGGACGGAGGGAGUAAAAAGGAAAAAGAGAGGAAGCGGGGUACUAGAUAGACCGGACAUUAAAAGCUAACAACCAUAUUAAACCCUCACGAGAUAAGACCCAAAACCAGCAUAUCCGUCUCGUCAACAACACUUGUGUUUUUAUUACACGACAACUAACAGUACCUCAACUCUCAAGCCUCAAACUCUUAACUCUACAUACACUAAUACAGUCAAGGUCUCCUCCUCCAAUAGUCUAUAUAUACAGUAGUACACAACAGCUAGACUGAUUCAGAAAACAUCAUGGGUUUAAAACUAGAGUUGUUAUUGUUUGUGAUACUUUUUGUUAGUUCAUGUGAGCUGAGGAUCUGUAGUGGAGAUGGGAAAUUGAGGUUUGGUAAGAAUGGGGAGUUUAAGAUACUUCAAGUGGCUGAUAUGCACUUUGCUGACGGCAAGAAAACGCCGUGUCAGGAUGUGUUGCCGGAGCAGAUGAAGGCCUGCUCCGACCUCAACACCACCGCCUUUAUUCGGCGGAUGAUCCGAGCGGAAAAACCGGAUUUCAUUGUUUUCACCGGUCAGUUUAUUCUUUUCUUGUGUCUAGUCAUNAUUUAGGCUCGAUUAGUUAAACGAGCCGGCUCGGCUCGAUUAACUUCAGCUGGAAUUACGCCCGGCUUGAAACUCGGCUCGUUCGACCCAAAUUACACCCCUAGAUAGCGGAUAAUCAGAAGAUCAUUCUUCUGCCAUUAAGCACUUGUGAGUACUAAUUUUCGGUGUUUGCGCAAUUUUCUAUUAUGUCUUGUUUUAAUCAUUUUAUGUGCUCUAAAUUAUAAAAAAAAUGCACACAAUUUGUUAAAGAUUAUAUAAAAUAAAAGUUGAAAUUAUGGAAAAAAUAAAUUUCAAUUAGAAAAAGUUAAAAUGUUUUUUAAUAAUUUAAUUGGAUAAAUUAUAUUUAUAUACUUCCUCUAUCUUAAAAAAAAUAAAAGACUUAUUGGAUUUGACUUUAAUUUUAGUUAUAUAUUAUAUGUAUAAAAUUUAAUAAUUUCAAAUAUGAGGUUGAGCGUGGAGAGGACCUUCAAAGGAUUGGAAAAUUAAUGAAUAGUGUGAUUAUUUGGUGAAUAAAAAUAAUAUGCAAACUCUUUCGGGUCUAAAAAUGAAAUUCAAAUUCAAAAAUAUCGGAUUCGAUAAAAUCCAGUCGGAUUGAAACGAUCGGGUAUCUAUCUAGUUCGGAUUUUCUGUAAUCCCUCUUGUCUGUGAAAUCAGGAGAGUAGUACUUUUUUUUUUAAGAGAAAACUGCACUUUAUGGCCUGCAGUUAGGGGCAACUAGCACUUACGAUACUACAGUUUUGGAAGUACGAUUUGUUAUACUAAACUUUCUAAGCGCUAAACACUUCGUGUAUCAUCGUCAAUUUUGACUAACACCGUUAGUUUUCUCGGGUACACUUUUAUGUGUCAAAACAGUUGAAAUACUACCAAAAGUUAAACCAGCACCUGCUAUACUACAAAAGUUAGAAUUAAAACCAAUACAUAAACACAAUAACAUUCAAAAACUAAACACAACUAAACUAAAACAAUUCAACAGCUAAAUUCAAAAGCCUAACAAGCAUUCAAAAUCCAAACUUCCAUCAUUCAAAAGCCAAGUCUUGAACAUUAUUCAAACAAACUUAACAUCAUAACAUAAAAACAAACAAACUAACAUGACUUGAACUUAAACAAGAUAAUUGGAAAGAGGCAUGGACAACUAAGUCUCAUCAGCAGCAAGAAUAGAGCUCAUAGAAUCAGGAGCAUCUUCCAAUUCUGUUAUCCCACCAUCACCAUCAAUCUCUGACUCAACAACAACAAUUGCAGAUGCAUUACGAGUUUUGGGAACAUGUUAGGAAUCCCAUGCCUCAUUUUCCAAGUUCUUAAUCAAUAAAACCAAAUCCAAAAGCCAAAAAUCUGGAUCAGGCUUGUUCACAUGAUUCAUAGCUUCCUCAUCAUCACAUUCUAUUACCACAUUGCUAACAUCUCCUCUCUCCCAAGCUAGCUUAAGCUCAUAAUAGAUUGACCAUAUCUCUGUAGCUAGUGGCAAAGUUAAUCCAAUCAUACCUGCAGCCCUCUUAACCCACUGUCCUUGGUUGUUUCUCAUCACACAAUCAACAACAUCUUUCAUUUGAGCCCUAUCAAAAACACCCUUACAAUUAACUUUAACUACAUUAGGAGAGGGUUUACUCCAGCAAACCGUAUUUAGGUACUAUUUGCGAGAAAAUACAAACAAUUUGUGAGAUGUUUUGUGGACAAAUUAAGGUUGUUUAUAGCUCAUGUAUAUAUAUUGGAGGAAAUUAAAGAUAAUUUUAACCACCUACUCACUCAUUGGUGGAUUCAGUCAAGUAUGCAGUCCACAAUGUAGUCAAGUGUUGAAUUAACAAGGCAUUCAAAGUCUGUUUCCAAUACUGUUUCUAAAAAUCAAGGCAAUUCCACCCACUUAUUCGAAACUGAUUUCAACUAAUUUGAACGAGAUAUUGAUGAUUAUAACUAAGGAAAAAAGUGACACCAAACAAAUUCGAACAAAAACAUAACAAACAUUAAUAUACGAAAAUAACACAAUAAUACAACUAUAAAAAUGAAGAAUUUAUGAUACAAUUACAUAAUUGCACAACAAUGUUUGACACUCAUACAAUUAUAAUAAUUCAAACAGAACAUCAAAUUAUAAGAACUAACCUUAAUACCAUGAAUUUGUAUAUGAUAUGCAGCCCCCAAAUUAUAUAAUGAUGACUCGAAACAGAGUAAUGAAUUGGGGAUGAGUACAAACAACUGAAAUUAGG